UGUCUUAAAGAUGUCAGGAAAAAAGAAAAAACCAGACACCCUGCCACCCUUAAGAUGUGAGCUUGUUCGGAAAAUGUAUUCCCCCAUCGCUACCUCCUCACCCUCUGUGGGAAUGUUCCACCGCAUCCCUGGAGGCUAGAGAGCUGGACAGUGGUACCUACACUUUACAGAGAAGAGACCUGAGGGAAGAAACCUACCACAGUACCUGGGGCAUGGUGGGCCCUUAAUAAAUUCAUUCUCUCUCCC